CGGGAUUGGCAUGGGCGAAAGCCUGAUCAGCCUGCCGCGUGUGUGAAGAAGGCCUUUUGGUUGUAAAGCACUUUAAGCGAGGAGGAGGCUACUUGGAUUAAUACUCUAGGAUAGUGGACGUUACUCGCAGAAUAAGCACCGGCUAACUCUGUGCCAGCAGCCGCGGUAAUACAGAGGGUGCGAGCGUUAAUCGGAUUUACUGGGCGUAAAGCGUGCGUAGGCGGCUUUUUAAGUCGGAUGUGAAAUCCCUGAGCUUAACUUAGGAAUUGCAUUCGAUACUGGGAAGCUAGAGUAUGGGAGAGGAUGGUAGAAUUCCAGGUGUAGCGGUGAAAUGCGUAGAGAUCUGGAGGAAUACCGAUGGCGAAGGCAGCCAUCUGGCCUAAUACUGACGCUGAGGUACGAAAGCAUG
rnacentral:rRNA from 1 species